UGAAAAUCUUAGAAGACAGAGAGAAAUCAGUAGUGAUUUUACCCAAGAAGGGGAAAGUUGACCGUUGAAGGAAAACUCCAUCAAGCAAGAGCCUCAAUGUCCGCAAGUCACUUCGCUUAACCUCUAGACCAACAAUAAGUAUGAUAGCAUUGAGAAGACCAUCGACUUAAUAGAAAGGAUUUAUGAGGAUUUGACCUUGCAUCAUUUGGUCUAGGGUUUUGGAUUUAGGGGUUUUGAAAAACCAUCGGUAAAAUGGAAGGAAAACAACAUGCUUCACAGCCUAGAGGCAAAACAAGUGAUUCUGUAAGUUUGAUUUGAAAGAACAAGGAAGAAAUCAGGCCAAUGAUGUUUUGAGCUUAGGGUUCAGAUUCAGGCGUUUCAAAUUUAGUGAUUUAAAUAGGAAAUUAGCAACGAGAAUUCACGGAUAGGGAAGCAAAAUAGAUUAUUUACAAUGAAAUAUCAUGACCUUUCACGAAUUAGUGCAAUGUCUAGUGAUUAAUCCUCUUAGAAGGAUGAGAGAAGAGAGAACAAAGGGGGAAAGGGUGUGGCUGUGUUAAACCAAUAAAUGAUCUUUGGGCUAGGAGUAGG
rnacentral:lncRNA from 1 species